GACGAACCGUGCGAACGUUGUUCGGAUUCACUGGGCUUAAAGGGCGCGUAGGCGGACAAUCAAGUCAGGGGUGAAAGCCUCCAGCUCAACUGGAGAAGUGCCUUUGAUACUGACUGUCUCGAGGGAGGUAGGGGCAUGUGGAACUUCCGGUGGAGCGGUGAAAUGCGUAGAUAUCGGAAGGAACGCCGGUGGCGAAAGCGACGUGCUGGACCUCUUCUGACGCUGAGGCGCGAAAGCUAGGGGAGCGAACGGG
rnacentral:rRNA from 1 species